AUGGCACAUAGAGCGACAGCAAGCAUCUUUCCCAAGUUCACACAGUCGGCAAGUGCUCACACUGAUAUUUGAACCCAGACCAUGCCUGGCUCAGAGUAGAAACUCAAUAAAUAUUUGUUGCAAGAAUGAAGGGUUGGGUUUUGUUGGAAAAAGGCCUGAUUGUGGACUGAUUGGCUGACUGUCAAGCCUCGCAGUGCAUCGAGCAUCAGCGCUACGAAGUAAGCUGCGAGUCGUUUUCCAAGCCGGCAGCUGCCUGUCUCCUUUGAAGAGUCUUGGAAGCAGCCACCAUCCAUCAUUCGCUUGGCAUGACUGUGAAGAUGGCAAUGACGGCUGCAGUCCAAGCCCUAGUGGGCAGAUGAGGAGCAGCCCCUCUCCUUAAAAAUAAAGCCGGAUUCCUAACAUUCUCUUCAACCCACGGCUGUGCAGGGCAGAGUCUCAACACAGGAAUUGGAACAUAACAAAUCUGCCGACUGCCAGCUUUGAUCUCACAAGGAUGGAGUUGGGGAGGUGAAGAGAAAGUAAAUGCUCUCUCGACUUUCCAAAGGAAAACAAUUUUCUUUCUUGGUAACUGCAAUUACUUGAAAACCAUGUCAAAACAAUAAUGUGCCUCCAAUAGUCUCCCACUCUCUCUCUCUCUCUCUCUCUCUCUCUCUCUCUCCCCCCUCUCCUCCUCCUCCCUGCUUCCUCUACCUUCUUCUCUUCCUUCUGCCUCCUUCGUUUUGCCCUGGUAAUAAGGACCAUGGACAGAGACACAUAAGCUCCGCCCACACGCCCUUAGCUGACCUAUGCUGGGAAAGAAGGGCAGUGGUCGAUCAAUACCCAAGAUCAAGUGAGCUUAGCUCCUCACGUGAGUAUUUCAGAAGGCAUUGCUUUUUGGUUGCAUUUCCUUGUAAGUUGGCGAGCUGCAUACUGAUGGACAUUCUUGAGAAGCUUGGAGGGCACUCAUCUCUCAGGGAUGCCCUAGAAAGGUUGUCUGCACUAGUGAGAUUUGCUGCUCAUUCCAAUUAAGGUCCUUCUAACUCCAAACCUCUUUGAAUAAUAAAUAGAUAAUGAGACUGAGAAAAAUAAAGAAUAUGUCAUUAACAAAGCCGCAGACCACAGUUCAUUGGCAAUGUUGGGGCCAGUUAGCUCUAUGAUUGCUUGGACAACUGUGUCUGUACCUAAAACACCCAGUUUUAGGUCAUAUUCCCACUGUCUGAUCACUGAACAGUCUGGGUGAGAGGUCACCAGAUUCCAGCUCACAUAGCUAAAUAAGACCUUUUUGUAGGUUCUCUUCACUCUCAUUUAAUUACAGAAACAAUUGUUUGAACAGAUUAAUAUAUCAAUUUAGCAGAAGAAUAACUGUACAAAUGCAAAGCCCUUCCCAGGCCAGGAUAAUAAGAAUGCAGCUCUCACCUCUGCCUUAAUCAAUCUUGUCUUAUUUUAAGCUCACAUUUGUGAUCUAUUUGGGGUUCAUGUCUCUGUUAUUCAUGUCUUUAGAAAUCUUGUCUUGCGGAUGUGAUGGGCAGUAACCAAAAUAGUAUCUACCCGAUGAGACUCUCAGAUCCUCGAGGGCAGAGUAUUUACCUCACUUGCCUGUAUACUGUCAAACACUUAGUAAUUGUUCAGAAAAUAUAGAAUGGAUACAUUAAUAACGAAUGAAUGUUAAAAAGGAAGUUGAAUUUAAGCCUAGUGAGGGUAACACUUUAUGUCUUUUUUUUUCCUGUUGAAAACCCAACAUCUAGAACAAUGCUCAGUACAUAGAUGAUGAUCACUAACUACUUGUUUAUUGUAUGUGUGAGUGUGGAAUGAGUGAAUAAGAGAACAAAGGCUCUUUUCUUUGCUAACUCUGGAAGUUAGAGAAAGUAAUUUAUUCAUUUUUUAAUAGAUGAGGAAAUGAAGUCUCAGAAGAAUCAAUUUAUGAGAAGUCGCUUGGUGAAGUGUAGAAUGAUAUACAAAUACAUAUCCAUUAUUAAUUGACACAAUAAUGCUGUGAAACCACCACACACUUCAGCAGUGUAUGGUAAUAAAUAUUUAUGGCUCAGGUAAGCUGGGCUAGGCUGGAUGGUUCUUCUGGUCUCAGCUGGACUUUCCCUUUCUGAGCCUCACUUUACUCAUCUGUAAAAUGGGCAUGACAGUUGCAGAGCCCAUUUUGUGAAGAUUAAAUAAGGCAAUCUAGGACAUGGGCUUAGUCUUUAUGUCCUCAAAUACUGAGGGCUGGCCAGGACUUGAGGGACAUAAUGGAGACAAAAAUAGACACGAUUCUUAUUUCUGUUGGAAGCAGGAUGGUGGGGGUGAGGGUAUAGAUAGACAUCAUACAAAGAAAGGUGGAACUGAGCUGUAAUUGCUGCAGUGGAGGGAGGGUGCAUGUUGUUCUCUGACAGUUUCCAGUGAUAAAUUUAACCUCAUAAGGGAAGUCAGAGAAUUCUUUCCUGAAGUGUCACUCUUAGGCUGACAUCUGAAGAAGUGACACCUAGUAGGCACUCAAUAAACGUUAAUUACCAUCAUUAUCCCUUUCUUCCUCACCACCAGAGGCCAACUUAUGAGCAGGAAAGGGCAGGAUUUAGCAUUUGAGCACCAGCUAUAUGGCAGGCAAUUUUCACAUUAUUAUCUCAUUUAACCAUCACAACAGUCCCCCGGGAAGUAGGUAGGAUUGUUAUUCUUAGCUGACACACUAAGUCUCAGAUAGGUUCAAGCAUUUUUAGAGGAACUGACAACACUGGGGUUAAAAUCCAGGUCUUUGGGACUCCAAAGUUCUCUUCCCCUGUAGACACAGCAUGCAGUUUACACCUUCGUGGUGUGCCUGAUGGACAGUGGGAGCCUCCACUGAAUCUCAGAACACUAUCUGCAAACUCCUGUCUUUCCAAAGGUUGAGCACUGCCUGGAAUGUCACCAUUAGCUUGCCAGCUCUUUGGUCCUCUUUUUGGUAGGGUCCAUUUUUUGCCUAUUUUAUGACAGCCAAGAAAAUAAAGCAGUUUCCCAUGAGUGGAGACACAUUUAAGAUCUUAAGCAAAGGAAGACCUGAAUUUUGAGAAAGAAGAGAAAUUUGGGAGGAGAUACAGUAAAAGGCAAAAUGAAGAAGAUACACAGACCCCUCCCUCUCCCCCAGAAGAUUAGAGAGUCCUGGGGACCAUUUAAUUCAACCCAGUCAUUUAACGACUGAGAAACCUGAGGCUCAGAGAGGGUUAGGUAUUUGCCCAAAGGCAAACAGCAUAGGACGUACAGAGUUAGGGACUUAUUCCAGAAAUUCUUAACUGCUUUUGUGCUUUUUUUCCCCUCUGCAAACUCCCUCCAGUUUGGGGGGUGGCUUAAAAUCUCCUCAAGGAAGGCAGCAGAUUUAUGGGUUAAUAAACAUUUACAAUGAGCUCCUGAAAAAACAGACUCAGGUAGACAGGAAUUAUUCAUUCAAAUUAACUAUAAAUUAAGAUCAACCUAAUUUAGGCCUAUUAAAAUGGAAAGCAUAUUAUCUCUCAUUCAAAGGAAUUUGUAUUUGAUGCAAAUAGAACAAGUUCCUAAACUUUAGAAAUGUUCUUGGAUUUUUCAUCUCCGUAGUUAACCAACGAAGAAUGGGUCCCCCAUUUAAAAACAGGGGAACAUAAGGAACAAUAAUUAGUUAUGUAAAUAAUGUGGCAUUCUUGUUUAUAAUUAGUUCAAGAAUAAAAUAAAAUUCACGCAUGUCACAGGACUAAUUUUCGUAUGCAAAUGAACAAUCAAAAUUAUAAAUGGUAAUAAUGCAGUUUGGGAGAUGUGACAUUCUCAAUUUAUUAGCAGGGGUGCCAGUUACAGCUGAUGAUGGCUGACGUUGGGAGAUUUCAAAGGUGCCUGGGUCUGGAAAAUUCUCACCCAUCAAGAGGAGAAAAUCUAACUAAAAUAUUUUCACCCAUUUUAUGUCACUGAUGGCUGCAAAGUGAACCCAGGGCGCCUCUGUGGCUGGAGAGACAGGUGCUGCACCAGGGAGACAGGAGUCCAAGUGAAUUUUUGAAAAGAACGCUCUGAAAUUUGGCUGGUGAAAAAAGCAAAGACCAGGCAUUGCAACCUGGGCUCUGACCUCAACAACGUGUGUCACCUUGGGCAGGCCCCCUUUGCUGCCUCCUAAUUUCCCCAUCUAGGGUGGAAGUUUUAUUAAAGAGGAGGAGGGAGUUUUGAAAUCAAACUGACUUGGAAUCUUGGUUCUACCACUUGCUAACUGCAGGGCUUUCCUUAACCUUUCUACCUUACCUAUCUGGACUCAUGUAGCCUCAUCUGGUAAGUGACAGCGAUAUUCUAUAUCUUUAGGCAGUGCCAAAUUACCUUAAAGAAGGGCUAAGCACAUGUUUGGGGCACUAGAAAAGUAGAGUACCAGGGGAAGAAAAAGUGUGAGAUAAUCAGGAGGUCUAGAAUCAAAAGCUGCUUAAAUUUUGGCAUUAUGAGAGCGUCGUGUCAUUCUGAAAAAUAAUUUAAAAGUACUUAAUAUAUUUAAUUGAAAAUUAUAUAUGGAAUGUAUGGGUGUGCAUUAUAUAUAGAAUAUGCUUUGCUCCUUGGAAUGCUGUGAGAUUGAAUGCAAUUAUACAUAUAAAAUAAUUAACACAGUGCCUAGAAGUUGGAAGAACUCUGUAAAUAGUUGUAGCAGCUACUGUUGGUAAAUGAGUAAGCUACAUUCCAAAAUAUCUGCAGUCCUUUUUUAAGCCCCAGUGUUCUAGGAUUCUGCCUGGAGGGAGGAUGCUUAAUUUCAGAUAAUAGCUGCAUCAGGACCAACAUGGGCCAAUGGGGAUUUCCAAAGAAGGAUGGUCCAAAGCACGCUGGGAAAGUUGGCAGGAUUUGCCCUAAGCAUCACUGAAGUUGAUGAUAUGAUGAGACACAGCUCAUCUGGUCUCAAACUAUCUCCCCCAGCAGUCAUGGUACCCAACAUUUUGCAACUAGAAAGAAGCCCAUAUCUGCUAACUCACCAAGACUAGAAACCAUUCUUGAUGUCACUAUGAUGUACAUCAUUUUACCUAAGAUUUACUUAUCUACCUAUAUCCAUCCAUCCAUCCAUCCAUACAUCCAUCCAUCCAUCCAUCCAUCCAUCCAACAUCAGGAACCUUCUGAAGGCUAACUGCACCAUAUGGUGGAUAUGAUGGAUAGAUUUUAGUCCUCUUUCGUUGUUGGCACUCCAAAUUUGGGAUGGGAAUUGUCAUUGAGCAGCUAUUCUGUGCUAUCUAGACGCUUUAGACACAUUAUCCCACUUAAUCCUAAUGACGGCACUAAGAGCUAUAGAUAACAAUGUUUAUAAGGUAAUAAUAGCUACGAUUUAUUGAGUGUUACUAUGUACUGGCCACUGUGCUUAGCCUUUUAUAUGAGAUAUCACAUUUAAUGUCCCCAACAGUUUUGAGAAGAACUCUUAUUUCUUUGAUUUACCAUUAUUGCCCAGCUUCAGAAAGGUUAAGUGACUAGCCCAAGGUCACACGGCACAUUAGAGGUCAAAGCAAGCCUCUUUCCCUGGUCUUUGUAAUUCCAGGUUGGUCACUGUCUGCUUCACUGUGCCUCUAGCUAACUGAUUUUCUCUUGGAGGGAGGCAUGCGGGCUCCCAACCUCACUAGACAAUCAUGGGAGGAGGAAAGACAAGGGCUUUCUCACAGAGUUAACUCUCCACUCCUUGCCCCCUGGGGAAGGGCACCCCCUCCUGAGCAUCCUGACAGGUCAGCCUGCACUCAAAGUAGCCUUUCGGGGGGCCCUUGAUGGCUCCCAGAUGGGAACGCACACAGCUGUCAGGUGCUUCCGAGAGUCUCUGGAUCCUAAGAGCACUGGCGGUGUGCCUGUAGGAUUAAUUGCUUCUCUGGCUUCCAGCAGGGAAGCGGGGUGUGGUAACAUCUUGGCUUGGUUAAGGAUGAAGGGGCAGGCACACAGGUGGCAGAGAGCAUGCCUCUGUAGCACAGGAUCAGAGGAAACUAUGUGGCUGAGAACAGCUCCUGGUAGGUAGGGAAGCCCAUGAGGACCUCACUUCCCCUAGAAGGAAGAUGUCAGAAGCUGAUGUCCUUUCCCCCUGUGCAGUUCUAAAAUUAUGUAACUGGAAGAGGUGCCACAGGAAAACCUGUUUCUAUCAUCCUUAUUCGUUCUGUGUGGUCUUCCUCCUUGUCUUUCUUACAAUUCUUCUUCCACAGUUAAUUUUUUUCAGGCACCUUCUAUAUCUCAUGCUCUGGAAAUACCAAGAUGAACCAUGCAGACCCUGACCCCAUGGAGUUGAGAGUCUGGUGGUGGAAGACAGACAUCAUCAAACGCUGGCACAAAUAAAGGCACAUUUAUUUACUUGAGGGGUUACAUGUUAAGUCACGGAGGCACAGAUUCUAGAGGAGCCAGUAGCAGGGCCUGAGCUUGGUCCAGGGUUGGCCAGGAAGCUCUUUCCUGCAGAAGUAAUGCUUGCACUCAGGACCAAAAGAUGACCAGGUGAAGAGUCACCUCACUCCUUGAAACCUCAGUUUCCUUCUUUGUAAAGUGGGAUGAUAGUAACACCUACAUUCCAGGAUAUUUGUGAGGAUAAACUGAGAUGACACAGGUGAAAAUGAGUAGUACGGAGUCUGGUACAUAGUCAGUGCCCAUCGUAUCAUGGCUUUGGCCAUAGUCCCUCGAUGUGAAGUGAAGUUCCCAUAGAUUGGAAGGCCUAUCGUUGACUUAGAAACUGCUGCCCAAGGGACAAAGAAGAAUGCAAGCCCACUAUGUGAAAUGGAAGCACACAGAAAAGGAAGGGCCUCACUCUGCUCUCUCUCUUCUGUGUGUGUGUGUGUGUGUGUGUGUGUGUGUGUGUGUGUGUGUAUGAUGAGAAGUUUGCACAGAGAAGCUGGUGUUUAGGCCAGGUCCUGAAUGGUAGAUAGCAGUUUACAAGAGAAAAGGGGGAGGAAGGGUGUCAGAGAUAAAAGGAACAUCAAUGCAAAGUGAUACAAGGAUGAGAAUGAGUGUCAUCCGCCUUGUCAGAUGCCUGGGGAAAUUCCAAUGGGCACAUGGAACAGAUCCCCAAACAAAACAACCUUUAAUAACACAAUACUAUUACUCCUAAUGGCAAUAACGGCAAAAGCAAUAAUCACAAUGACCACAAUAGCAACAGCCGUUACCAUGCAUUGACAGGUUACUCUCUUUCAGGCACUGUACAUGGGUAACUUCACCUGAAAUGCUGAAAAUAAAUCUUGCUCAUUCUUUCCUGGGAUAUAGUGAAUGACUUCAUGCCCUACAUUGUAUGGGCUACCCACAUAGGUGAGGAAUUGAGGAUACAGCCAUGGAGGAUUUUUCUGUUAAACCUCAGAAGGGAUGCUCUCAAUUUCUGCAAGGCUCUCCUGGGCAACAUGAACGGUCCAGACAAGUUCAUUCAUUUUUUUGUUUUUCUGGAGGGUUAAAUGGGGGAUAGAGUAUUCAGGAGGUAGGUUUAGCUCAGUCCAAGGAUGGCUACAAAGAGCUGUGGUAGGUAGUGCUCUGACAAAGAGUUCCCUGUCGUGGGGAUAUUCAAGUGUAACUCAGUUAAUUUCUUGUUGGGGAUGUUCUGAGCAUGGUCAGAACAAAGAGAAAGGGAAAUUCAGGGGGAAUUGGUCUAGAAGAUCCCUUCAAUUCCAGGAUGCUGUGGUUUCAGGAAGGCAGGAAUGAUCUACCAUGAAAGGUUUUUACAACAGUAGGAAACAUCAUCAUCUUGGCUUUGCCUGUCUCCAGGAGGCUUGAAUGUGAUUUGCAUAACCACAGGGGGAUGGAUGUCUUGAUCUUUCACAGUUUUUUUCCAGCCCUUAGAAUCAUUCUGGUCUUUGCUUGCAACCUCCUUUAGAACCAUAUCCUGAGCCACCUCCAUCCUUCUCCCAAAUUAUUGUAACAACUUCUGAGUAGGUCCCCUAGCACUCUAUAAUCUACCCUCCACACAGAAGCAAAAGCUAUCAUAUAAAAUAAAAAUCGGAUAUAUUUUCCCCCUACAGUUGUAACUUAUGACCAUAGCCGUCCCCAACCCAACUGGUUCUCCCAUUCCACCUCCCCUCACCUAAUGUGCACAAACCACUCUCCCUUCUUUUCUGACUCACAAACAUUCAGGGCUUUUGCCUUUCCUCUGUCUGAGCCCUCUUCCCCUAGGACUUUGCAAGGCCAGUUUUUUUCUCAUCGUUAAAUUCCCAGCUCAACUGUCACCCCAGACAGGGCUCUCUGACCAGUCUCCAGUCACUCCAUCCGGACGACCCUUUUAAUUUUCCUUUCAGCAUUUAUCUAGCUGGGCCUGGUGAUGUGUGUCUGUAGUUUCAGCCACUCGGGAGGCUGAGGAAGGAGGAUUGCUGGAGCCCAGGAGUUCAAGGCUGCAGUGAGCUGUGAUCAUCACUUUGCUCCAGUCUGGAUGACAGAGCGAGACCCUGUCUCUAAAACAUAAAUAAAUAGGCCAGGUUUGGUGGCUCAUGCCUGUAAUCCCAGCACUUUUGGAGGCUGAAGCCAGUGGAUUGUUUGAGCCCAGGAAUUUGAGACCAGCCUGGACAACAGGUGAAACCCUGUUUCUAGGAAAAGCAAAAAUUAGCCAGGCAUAGUGGUACAUACCUGUGGUCCCAGAUACUCAGGAGGCUGAUGUGAAAGGACCACCUGAGCCUGGGAAGUUGAGGCUGCAGUGAGCUGAGACUGCUCCACUGAACUCUAGCCUGGGCGGCAGAGUGAGACCCUGUCUCUAAAUACAUAAAUAAAAUAAGUAAAGCACUUUUCAGUAUCUUUCUGGAAUUCUUAUCUAUUUGUUAACAUAUGUAUGGUCUUUUUCUGCUGCUGAGAGGUGAAGCCAGCUGGACUUCCUGGCUCGAGUAGGGACUUGGAGAACUUUUCUGUCUAGUUAGAGGUUUGUAAAUGCACCAAUCAGCGCUUUGUGUCUAGCCAAAGGAUUGUAAAUGCACCAAUCAGCAACUCUGUAAAAUGGACCAAUCAGCACUCUGUAAAAUGGACCAAUCAGCACUCUGUAAAAUUGACCAAUCAGCAGGAUGUGGGAGGGGACAAAUAAGGAAAUAAAAGCUGACCACCCCAGCCAGCGGGGGCGACGUGGUGGGGUCCAUUUGUAGGUUGUGGAGGAUUUGAUCUUUUGCUCUUGGAAAUAAAUCUUGCUGCUGCGCGCGCUCUCUCUCUGGGUGCAUGCUGCUUUUAAGAGCUGUGAUACUCACCAGGAAGGUCCGUGGUUUCAUUCUGGAAGUCAGCGAGACCAAGAACCCACCAGAAGGAACCAACUACAGACACACUGCUAUAUGGUCCAGCUAUGUACAAACUGAAUCAAGAUUCUAUGUACAUCAGAAUCAAGAGAGAGUGAGUUCUUGACAUCACGGAGCGGUCUACAUUCUAGUUCAUGCGGUGGACCUGCUGGGUGGCCUCAGAGGUACCUUUCAAAUGCUGGCCCAGAAAGGUGAGGCAAGGAGGGGACCUGGCCUCCAUCUCUGUGAAUCCCACAGCCCUCCUCCUGAGAUCUGCAGGGGUAGCAUGAAAUAUUUAAAAGCUCAAAUUGAAAUCUUGUUAGAGCCAGGUCUUGUAAAGCCAAGUUCUCCAACCCCAGAACAUCAGUAUCUGUUUGCUGGUGUCAUUUAGGGACCCCGGCUUUCCAAACCAUUGACUGAAACUUUCUGUCAAUCCAACACUUUUAGGGUAAUUUAACUUAAUAAUACCUUUGUCGGCACUGGCGCCUGUAUCUGAAGGGUGAUUACCAUAGAAGUUAUUUUAGGUUGUUUAAUGGAAUGUAGUAAAUUCUCAAUUGACAGGGCAGAUCCUCAAAAUGGCUUUUCAAAGUGUUUACCUUUCAAAGCUUUCUCCCUCACUUUACCGAACUUACUACUUUGAGCCAGCGAAGACUUCAUAAAUUAUUAGCAAUUGUUCUCCCCCCUGUGUUCACAUGCAUCAUUAAUUCUUUGUAAAAAGUUCAAACUGUCCGGGGCUUAAUUGUUAUCACUUGGAGAACGGCUAGAAAUGGAUGCAGGCUGUAUUAUUUCUGUCAAAAAUUUUGACUUAUUGCUCUUGAUAUUUUACCCAUCACAUCACAUCCUCGGUACAGGAGAGAGGAAAAAGGAGAGGGGGAGGAGAAAGAACAUAAAUGCGUUUUCUUGAAACAAAACAAAUAUAAUAAUACAUAUAUUUCUGAGGAGAAAAGUCAAGGAUUCAUCUGACAAAAUAAUAGUUUUAAUCCUCCAAAGAGAGAGGAGGAGGGCAGCAUUAGGGGGAAAUUUCUAUUGUAAAUUCUAUUGCUUCACACUGUACUUUUAUUCUAAGUUUUGAAGGUUGUAUAAUUCUAGGAAUCUAAUGUUUAACGAUUCUGAGAUAUUGAAAUUUUAUGAGUCCAAAUUCCCAAGGUGUUUGAUUUUAAGGAUAAAUUAAUCCCACCGUCCAGUAUUCAGGACUGCUAAAAAGUAUAGUAGAAUUAGAAAGAUAUUGACAAUAACCACAGAAAUAGCUAAGCUUUGUUGAGACCUUAACCAUAUGCAGGCACUGUGCUGAGUGCUUCAUGUGCAGCACCUUAUUUUAUUUUAUUUUAUUUUAUUUUAUUUUUUUGCUUUUGCUAAUUUUUUAAAAUUGUACUUUAAGUUCUGGGGUACAUGUGCAGAACGCGCAGGUUUGUUACAUAGGUAUACACAUGCCAGGGUGGUUUGCUGCACCCAUCAACCUGUCAUCUACAUUAGGUAUUUCUCCUAAUGCUGUCCCUCCCCUAGCCCCUCAUCCCCCAACAGGCCCCAGUGUGUGAUGUUCCCCUCCCUGUGUCCAUGUAUUCUCUUUGUUCAAUGCCCACUUAUGAGUGAGAACAUGCGGUGUUUGGUUUUCUGUUCUUGUGUUAGUUUGUUGAGAAUGAUUGUUUCCAGGUUCAUCCAUGUCCCUGUGAUCCCAUUACUGGGUAUGUGUCCAAAAGAUUAUAAAUCAUUCUACUAUAAAGACACAUGCACACGUAUGUUUAUUGCAGCACUGUUCACAGUAGCAAAGACUUGGAACCAACCCAAAUGCCCAUCAAUGAUAGACUGGAUAAAGAAAAUGUGGCACAUAUACAUGAUGGAAUACUAUGUAGCAGCACCUUAUUUAAUCUUCAUGUCACUGUAAAGUAGGUACUGUUAUUAACCCCUUAUAUAGCUGGGAAAACUGAGGCACAGAGAGGGUAAGUAACUUACUCAGGGACACACAGCUGGUAAAAAGCAGAGUUAAACUCUGACUUCAGGCCCUGUGUGUGUAGAACUUAACGUAUAUUGUGCCCCAUCUCAAGACACUGCUCUUUUGCCCCACCUGGCAUGCUGUGGAUCAGUGUAGAAGUGAUCCACAUUGGUAUAUGAGUCUAUUGUCAGACUACCCCUGAGGCAACCCAGCCCUGACCUGCUUUUUGUUUGUGUUGACGUUGCUCAUCCAGUCCAGCAGAUCACCCUUUCCCAUACAUUCUACAAGGUCAUCUCCUCCAAGAAGGCUUCAGUCCUGCCGCACCAUCCUUUGAAUCCUCACAACAGUUGGUACCAGGGAAAGGGAUAAUGAGGCAGUCUAGUAGGCUGGCCAAAAGCAUGGACUAUGGGGUCAGAUCCCUUCGGUUGGGAUCUUACUUCUGCCAGUAAAUCCAUGCGCUAAGCUUCAGUUAGGCAAGCCAUUUCAGCCUCAGCUUUCACAUCUGUAAAAUGGAUAUAACCACCCCUGCCUCACAGAACUGUUGUGAAGAGGAAGGGAGGUGCUCCAAGGGAGCUCUGUUUACUGCUUCACAACAGUCAGUGCUGAAUACAUGUUGGCUGUUGUUCUCUCUUGUCUUGUAGUGAUCUCGUACUGAGAGUUUUGUACAUUAAAGUAUAAGAGUCAGUAUUUUUUUUCCUAGUCAACAUUUAUUUUCAAUGAGAUUUGGAAAUUUCCUUACCAAAUAAUUCAAGGUGAAAGUAUAUUAAACUAUAUUUUUAAAAAUUGUAUUUUUGACAAGUGACCAUUAUAUAUAUUUAUGAGGUACAAUGAGAUGUUUUGAUUAUGUUUAUCUUGUGCAAUGAUUAAAUCAAGCUAAUUAACACAUCACCUCAUUUACUUAUCAUUUUUUGUGGUGAAAGCAUUUAAAAUCUUGUUUUUUUAGCAAUUUUGAAAUUAUAUAUUGCAUUAUUGUUUAUUAUUGUCAUCAUUCUGUACAAUAGGUCACUGAAGCUUAUUCCUUCUGUCAGCUGAAACUUUGUACCCUUUGAUCACUCUCUCCUCUUUCUCUACCCACCUGCUUCCCCCAGCCUCUGGUAACCACCAUUCUACGCUCUCAACUUCUUUAGAUUUCACAUAUAACUGAGAUCAUGCAGUGUGUGUCUUUCUGUGUCUGGCUUAUUUCACUUGGCCUAAUGUUCUCCAGGUUCACUGAAGCAAAUGACAGGAUUUCCCUCAUUGUAAAGGCUAAGUUGUAUUCCAUUGUGUACAUACACCACAUUUUUUUAAUCCAUUCAUCUGAUGUUGGACAUUAAGGUUGCUUCCAUAUCUUAACUAUUGUGAAUUACAUUUCAAUGAACAUAGGAGUGGAAAUAUCUCUUGGGCAUAGGAUUUCAAUUCCUUUGGAUAUACACCCCACAUGGUAAUCCUAUUUUUAGUUUUCUGAGGAACUCCCAUACUGUUUUCCAUAAUGGCUGUAUUAAUUUACUUUCCCACCAACAGUGCACAAGGGUUCACUUUUUCCAUACCCACAUCAACUUAUUAUGUCUUUUUGAUAAUAGUAUUCUAACAAGUUGUGAUGAUAUAUCAUUGUGGUUUUAAUUUGCAUUUCCCUGAUGAUUAGCGAUGACCAGCACUUUUUAAUUCCUCAUUUGUCCAUUCGUAGAUCUUCUUCUGAGAAGUGUCUAUUUAGGUCCUUAGCUAAUUUUUUGAUUGGGUUAUUUAUUUUCUUGUUAUUGAGUUGUGUUUCUUAUAUAUUUUUUAUGUUAGCUCCUUAUCUGAUGUAUGGUUUGCAGAUAUUUUUUCCCAGUCCUUGAGUUGUGUCUUUACUCUAUCAGUCAUUUCCUUUGCUGUGCAGAAACUUUUUAGUUUGAUGUAACUUCAUUUGUUUGUUUUUGCUUUUGUUGCCCAUGCUUUUGGAAUCAUACCUAAGAAAUAUUUGCCCAGACCAAUAUUCUGGAGCAUUUCUCCUAUGUCCCCUCAUAGAUUCACAGACUCAGGUCUCAUGUUUAAGUCUUUAAUCCAUCUUGAGUUGAUUUUUGUAUAUGGUGUGAGGUAGGGUACAAUUUCACUCUAAUGCUUGUUGACAUCCAGUUUUCCCAACACCAUUAAUUGAAGAAGCUAUCUUUUCCCCAUUGUGUGUUCUUGGUGCUUUUGUCAAAACUCAGUAGACCAUAAAUGUGUGGGUUCACUUCUGAACUCUGUUCUAUUCUGUUGGUCAAUGUGUCUGUUUAUAUGCCAAUGCCAUGCUUUGAUUACUAUAGCUAUAUAAUAGAUUUUGAUGUCAGGUAGUGCAAUGCCUCCAGCUUUAUUUUUUUUUGCUCAAGAUGCCUUUGGUUAUUUGAGGUCUUUUGUGGUUCUAUACAAGUUUUAGGAUUGUUUUUUCUUUGCUGUGAAAAAUGACUUUGAAAUUUUGAUAGAGCUUGCAUUGAAUCUGUACAUCACUUUGGGUAGUAUGGACAUUUUAACAAUAUUAAUUCCCAAUCCAUGAACACAAAAACAUUUCCAUUUCCAGUCAUGCACUCCAUAAUGACAUUUCAGUUAGACAAUGAACUGCAUAGACAAAAGUGGUCUCCUAAGAUUAUAAUGGAGCUGAAAAAUCCCUGUUUCCUAGUGACAUCUUGAUGAUCCUGACCCUGUGUAGAUAACUAGGCUAAUGUGUGUGUGUGUCUCCUAGUUUUUAAGAAAAAAGUUUAAAAAGUAAAAAAAAAAAAAAAAAAAACUAGAAAAAGCUUAAAGAAUAAGUAUAUAAAGAAAGAAAAUAUUUUUGUACCUUGUAUAAUGUGUAUUUUACACUAUUAUCACAAAAGAGUCAAAAAGUUAAUAAAAUUAAAAAUUUUAUGAAGUAAAAAUGUUGCCAUAAUGCUAAGGUUAAUUUAUUAUUGAAUAAAAAAUGUUUUAACCUAAAUUUAGGGCAACCUAAGUGUUCAGUGUUUAUAAAGUCUGCAGUAGUGUACAGUAAUGUCCUAGGCCUUCACAUUUAUUCAGCAUUUACUCACUGACUCACCCAGAGCAACUUCCAGUCUGCAAGUUCCAUUCCUGCUAAGGGC
rnacentral:lncRNA from 1 species